CAGUAAACUUCUAUCGUAGGAAGAAGGGUUAUACUCUAAAGUAACAGCAAAAAUCACCGUGCUGGCGCACCCCUGUAAUCCCACCACUCAGGAGGCUGAGGCAGGAGGAUCACUUCGAAUUUGAGGCCAGCCUGGGCCACGUAGUUCAAAGCCAGCUUCAACUACAUAGCAAGACCCGGUCUCAAAAGACAAACUUUUUUAAAGGAAUAACAAUAAAAAUAUAAAACAGUAAAUACAGGAACUGGUAACAUACUUCACCAUUGCCAAAUAUUCUGAGCUGUGCGGGAUGGCAGGAGCCUGACUUCUACACGACUGCAGCGUGGUAGCUUUGUCCCCGCCCCUAGGACGUCACCAGGAACUCCCCAGCUCCACCGCACUCUCGCUCUGCGGGGGGUACUGCUGAAGGAAGCGAUGCCCUGGGGGCCACUGCCCAAGUGGACCGGAAAAAACAAAUGCUAGGCACACGACGACUUGGAGCCUGCGCCCUCUGGACUGGGCCAAGGCACCGAGGGGCAUGCCCGGGUCUUCCUACGGGAGCAACAAGGCUGAAGCAGGCCAGGCACACUCCGGUCCGAGCAGCUCCCUGGAGGCCGGUCCUGCGGUGGGGAGCCCAGGCAGCCCUUGGCGCUGCCCCUCGCCAGCUGCGCAGCGUCCGGCUGUGCGAGACACGCCUGUCCCGGCUCCCGCCUGGGCCCCAGAGGAGCGCACGAGCACAGGAGCCCAGGACAGCCCCUCGGCAUGAUGGCCAAGGUGGGGCGCAACCCUGCAGGAAGGACACCCCAUGUUUGCCGAGGGCUCUGGUGCUGAGCUGUGUCUUCUCUGAGGACAGUGCUGCUGACAAACAGGUUGGGUGCUGGGAAAGUCCUGUCUGA
rnacentral:lncRNA from 1 species